UUCAUCUUUCAACCUUUCCCAGAGAAACUGUAUUUUCUUUGUGGUUGAUGAACAAUAUUACAAGCCAAUUGCAUAUGGUACAGGGCCCUGUACGCAACAAGCAGUGUGAGCAGACAGAAAGGGAAAAAAAGUUACAAGACACAGCUAAGGAACAGAGAUUCUCCAGCAUUGCCUCUGUACUGGAUACAGUUGUCUGCAAUAAUUAUUUGGCUAAGAAUAUCUGCUGUCGGCUCAAAGGCUAUGCAGAAUGAAGAUAGUCAAGAUUUUCCCCUAGGAAAUGACAACAUUUUCUGACUCUUACUGGAAAACUCAUGCACAAACUGCAGUUUUGAACUUAAAAUACUUUAUCCUUUUUCAAAGACUGUCUGUUUCUGCAAAAAAUCACAGCAAGAAGUGACAGAGUUCUUCCUUAAAUUAGACUUUUCUAGGGAAGUUAUACUGACUUUAUUGCAUUCUAUAAUCUCUUUGCACUCACAUAAUUCUCAAGGAUCUUUUUGAUGAUUCUUACUUGUGGGAAUAAUACAAAAUAAUUAGUGCCCAAUAUCAAGAUAUAGCCAAGAGUGUUUCUAAUAACUUAUGUUCUUUAUCUUUUACUUGUUUGCCUCAUCAUUGAAAUCCAUAUGUGCACAAUUGCUAUGAUCUCAUAAUUUCAAAUGUAAAUCCCCACUGUGAGCAUUCUGCAUCAUUAUGCUCCUUUACCCAAGUUUCAAGGGAAACAAUGUGUUUUAACCUUACAGGUCAGCCACACUGAAGAUUUGUACUAGCAUAAUGUUAGAUAAGCUAUCCUUGUAGGAGUACAUUCAGUGUAUUGAAAAUUUACAGAGCAAAUUGGUCACUGAACAUCUCUUACAGUUUGGCAGAGGUCUGAGUUUUUAAAGGUCAUGAAGGUUAACAUUUCUAGUGACCUUUAUAAACACAGUUCUAUAGAUAAAACAUUUUGCUGUGCUGCCAAACAUGUAAAAACCACUACAGCUCUAACUCAUAUUCCUUUAAUGUUGAAAGUUUCCUCUUAAUUACCAUAAAACAAUGUGUAUGAUAGUUUUAAAAACUCCUUUAAUCAUUUUUAAUAAAACCAAACUGGUAUUGUGGUCCA
rnacentral:lncRNA from 1 species